CCCUUAGAUGUUCUGGGCCGCACGCGUGCUGCACUGAGUGGAUCAGCGGGUCAGGUUGCGCGAAAGCGUUUCCUAAUCUUUAAAUCCGCUCGUGAUGGGGAUUGACGGUUGCAAUUUUCUGUCAUGAACGAGGAAUACCUUGUAAGCGCGGGUCAUCAUCCCGCGCUGAAUACGUCCCUGCCCUUUGUACACACCGCCCGUCGCUCCUACCGAUUGAGUGGUCCGGUGAGGCUUUGGGAUCUGAGCGGAAAGAGCGUUUCGCUGUUUCUGCUCGGAAAACUCAGUCGAACCUUAUCAUUUAGAGGAAGUAGAAGUCGUAACA
rnacentral:rRNA from 1 species